rnacentral:lncRNA from 1 species
CACCGCCGGCCCCUGAACCCGGAAACACAUAUACCAACUCACAUAUGACGAAGGAGGUGCAGCGCGGCGGCCGAGAAACGGAUGCGCGUCGCCGAUUGGGGCGGGGGCGGAGCUGUUGUGGGGGAUCGACGGCAGCACGGCGGGUAGGUGGGUCGACGGCCGUGGGGUCGCGCGGCGGCUAGGGUUCAGUCGGCGAAGGGAAGACGAAGGAGGCGAUGCGCGUCGACGGAACAACGGCGGCGAGAGGCUGCUUUGGGGACGGCGGCGUGCGGUGGGGGUCGACGAGAGCAGGGGGCGUAGGGGGUGGAGCGCUGGCCGUUGCCUGCAGCCGAACGCGUGGGCUUUUUGGGCCGCUGUCCUGCUCGCUUAAGAUUUUUCAGCGGCGGCGGCUGCAGCUGUACCGACACCCAGCCGUUCGGUUGCAGCCCAAGCCCACUCGUUGGCUAUAAGCUGUAACUAUCCUUUUACUUGGCCAGAGAGGCACCGCAGUGAGGAUGUACAGUACAAAUGCAUAAAGUAUAAACCUCACGCCCCGAACAGGGUAGUAUACAUUAAAAGUACAAAUGCAUAAGCUUUUUAAAAAAAAGUACAAAUGCAUAAAGCAUAAACCUCACGCCCCGAAUAGGGUAGUAUACAUUAAAAGUACGUGAAAACACAACAGCGUCUGCAAUACUGCAACUAGCUAUUGUUAUUUCAAGAUGACAAAUCCUCCAAGCCCAGCCACAAGAACAAUGGGUAAAAUUGAGAUCCAAAGAAUCGUCAUCCCGAUAGCGCCUCGCCGGGUCAGGUCGCCUGAGACGUAGAAGCCAACUGACGCCUCAACGAAUCCAAAGAUAAUUACGGCGACGAGAAUGCCGUAGUACAGGUAGAAGGGCGCCUUUCCAUGACUGAAAAUACCUGCCGGCGACCUGAAGACGACGAGCGCGAGCGCCGCUGCAGCUUGAACGAUUCCGCUCGUGAUGAGUGCGGCCGGCAGCUUGCCCGCGUUGCGGCAGGCCUCCGGGAUCAAGCACGCGAUCUUGAUCAUUAGAGUCGUGAACUCCAUCUGUGAUAAGUCGAAGAAGGGAAGAACUGGUCGUUCGAAAAUAUAUAGGCGGCGGAUUAUGUCUGCUGCACUCGUUUUCGGUUUUCCCCAACGAAAACGAGUGCAUUCGGUAGCUUCGCGUGUUGUUUCCGUGGGCUAACCCCAUCUUUGGCCAUCUUUGCGGCGAGUCGUGUACUCGUUAACGCAGGCGAGCUUUCGGUCGGUCGGGGAAGGGAAGACGGAAGGAGGUGCGGCGUGGCGGCCGAGAAACGGAUGCGCGUCGCCGAUUGGGGCGGGGGCGGAGCUGUUGUGGGGGAUCGACGGCAGCACGGCGGGUAGGUGGGUCGACGGCCGUGGGGUCGCGCGGCGGCUAGGGUUCAGUCGGCGAAGGGAAGACGAAGGAGGCGAUGCGCGUCGACGGAACAACGGCGGCGAGAGGCUGCUUUGGGGACGGCGGCGUGCGGUGGGGGUCGACGAGAGCAGGGGGCGUAGGGGGUGGAGCGCUGGCCGUUGCCUGCAGCCGAACGCGUGGGCUUUUUG